rnacentral:lncRNA from 1 species
GUCGCCAUUGGGAGGCGGAGGCGAGGGCUUGGCUAGCGAGCGAGAGGUCUGGAAAUUGAUGGAAUCGCUGCUGCUCGGUAAUGUUGGCCGGCCCUAAAAAUAGGACCCUCCUCGGACUCUGCUACGAGUUUCGUGGAAGGCGCCUCGAACUCUCUCUGUUACUCCAACAUCUGAAUUUCUUGGAAAGUACGUACUCCUAGAACUCAGUCUAUCUUAGCAUGUAAGUCUCCGACAUGGUACUAAAAUGGAACGUGGAGUUGUAAGUCGUAAUCGUGUUCAAUGUCGGCGUGUGU